GAUGAAGAACGCAGCGAAAUGCGAUAAGUAAUGUGAAUUGCAGAAUUCAGUGAAUCAUCGAAUCUUUGAACGCACAUUGCGCCCGCCAGUAUUCUGGCGGGCAUGCCUGUUCGAGCGUCAUUACAACCCUCAGGCCCCCGGGCCUGGUGUUGGGGAUCGGCGGAGCCCCCCGUGGGCACACGCCGUCCCCCAAAUGCAGUGGCGGUCCCGCCGCAGCUUCCAUCGCGUAGUAGCUAACACCUCGCGACUGGAGAGCGGCGCGGCCACGCCGUAAAACACCCAACUCUUCUGAAGUUGACCUCGAAUCAGGUAGGAAUACCCGCUGAACUUAAGCAUAUCAAUAAGCGGAGGA
rnacentral:misc_RNA from 1 species